rnacentral:rRNA from 1 species
CCUACGGGGGGCAGCAGUAGGGAAUCUUCCACAAUGGGCGAAAGCCUGAUGGAGCAACGCCGCGUGGGUGAAGAAGGUCUUCGGAUCGUAAAACCCUGUUGUUAGAGAAGAAAGUGCGUGAGAGUAACUGUUCACGUUUCGACGGUAUCUAACCAGAAAGCCCCGGCUAACUACGUGCCAGCAGCCGCGGUAAUACGUAGGUGGCAAGCGUUAUCCGGAUUUAUUGGGCGUAAAGGGAACGCAGGCGGUCUUUUAAGUCUGAUGUGAAAGCCUUCGGCUUAACCGGAGUAGUGCAUUGGAAACUGGGAGACUGGAGUGCAGAAGAGGAGAGUGGAACUCCAUGUGUAGCGGUGAAAUGCGUAGAUAUAGGGAAGAACACCAGUGGCGAAAGCGGCUCUCUGGUCUGUAACUGACGCUGAGGUUCGAAAGCGUGGGUAGCAAACAGGAUUAGAUACCCCAGUAGUC